CUAAAAACAUGGCUCUUUGUGUAUGUAAAAUAAAGAGUCUGACCUGCCCGGUGAUAAUUUUAACGGCCGCAGUAUACUAACUGUGCAAAGGUAGCAUAAUAAUUUGUCUUUUAAUUGGAGACUAGUAUCAAAGGUUUGACGAGAAUAUAGCUGUCUCUUUUAUUUUAAUUAUAAUUUAUUUUUAAAGUUAAAAAACUUUAAUUAAAUUGUAGGACGAGAAGACCCUAUCGAGCUUUAAAUAGUGAAUAAAGUAUUUAUUAUUAUUUAAAUAUGUAUUUGCUUUGAUUGUUUUUUGUUGGGGCGACUGCGGGGCAAAUAAAACCCCCGUUAUAGCUAAAAGUUAAAAUUAAUCCGAUAUUAUCGAAUAAUAACUAAGUUACCGUAGGGAUAACAGCGUUAUUUUUUUGAAGAGAUCUUAUCGAUAAGAAAGAUUGCGACCUCGAUGUUGGAUUAGAUAUACUUUAGGGCGUAGAGGCUUUAAUGUGUUAGUCUGUUCGACUAUUAAAUUUCUACGUGAUCUA
rnacentral:rRNA from 1 species